GGUCAGCGCGAAGAGAAUGUACCCCAUGAUUUAUCCUCCCUAAUCCACCCCAACAUUUCUCAGCUGUCACCUGUAACCUGACUCAAUACCUGUGAGUGAUUGGCUCAGACAAGAUUGUUUGGAGUGUUCUGUGAGUCGUCCUGUCCCUGGCUGUCUUGUUCCUGCAGUUUUGUUCUGGUCUGUAUUCCACGGAAGACUGGUUGCCCAUCUCCGUCCCUGUGCUGCCAGGAGAGGACCCUCGUGUGCUUGCUCAUGUCUGACCCAUCGCUACAACUCUUAUUGUUUUCUCAAUAAAGAACUGAGAUUUA